rnacentral:misc_RNA from 1 species
AAUGUUUUCAUCUCCGAAGAUAUAAUACGUGUCGUGUCGUUCGUCCAUGGAAUCGAAGAACGAAUAACUAUAGAAAUUUAUUUGGAAUAAUAAAUUGUCUGGAGAGAGUUUAGAGUCAGUGAAUAAGUAAAAUAGUGGAUCGAGAAGGUUGUUGAGAAAGAAUUCGUUCGUGACCGGCGAAACCGGCUCGCACGUUUCGAGCGAGCGCGGGAGAUUUCCUUCGAAGAUCUUCUCUUAACCUCGGAUGCCAAGGUGCAAGGAGAAGAAAGCUUUUCUUUUCAUCGAAUCUGUACGCUGUUACAACGGCAGGUUCCAAGUUAUUUCGGCACGUUCUUCUCAGGAACAUUCACAAAAUGACGGUACCGGAAGAAAUGGCCACGGAAAUUGCGAACAAAAGGGCUGAAAGGGAAGCCCUUCGUGGGGUCAUACAACAAUGGAACGCAAAUCGUUUGGAUCUUUUCGAACUCUCCGAGCCCAAUGAAGAUUUGGAGUUUCACGGGGUUAUGAGAUUCUAUUUUCAAGACAGCGGUCAAAAGGUGGCUACGAAAUGCAUCAGAGUCGCAUCCGAUGCAACCAGUCGUGCAGUGAUCGAAACUCUCAUAGAAAAAUUCCGUCCAGAUAUGAGAAUGUUGUCGGUACCGGAAUACGCUCUUUACGAAAUUCAUGAAAACGGAGACGAACGGAAAUUGGGAUUGGAAGAGAAACCAUUGUUGGUUCAAUUAAAUUGGCACGUAGACGAUCGAGAAGGACGUUUCUUGUUGAGAAGGAUCGACGAUAAAACGAAUGCUCAAGGUGUUGGUUUCUCCUCGGAAGGUUCUAGCUUUCGUAGAAAGCUGAGUAAGAGAGAAAAGAAACAAAUGAGGAAACAAGAGAAGCUUGGACGUUUGAAAAGUUUAGAACAGGAUGAAAAUGCUGUACCGGUUGAUCAGAAUGGCGUCGCUGAAAAACUUUAUACUGAACUUCCCGAAACGAGUUUUACAAGAAGUAUAUCCAAUCCGGAAGCCGUUAUGAGACGUCGUAGGCAACAAAAGCUUGAAAGAAAAUUGCAACAAUUUCGUAGCAAAGAUGGUGGCCCAGAUACGGGCGGUACUUUAAAGAUCUACGGAGAAGCACUUUGCAAGGAUGUACCUUAUAAAACUUUAUUAUUGAGCGUUAGAGAUUCCGCAGCACAGGUUGUAAGAGAAAUGUUAUCUAAAUAUGGUUUAGAUAAAGUCGACCCUCAACAAUAUUGUCUCGUACAAGUGAACAACGACAAUACAAACGGUAGUACUCAUCAAGAGUAUAUACUGGACGACGACGAGUGCCCGUUGGCUAUUCUCAUGAAUCACCCUUCCACACGUGGAUCAAUCAUGUUUCACGUGAGGAGGAGACCGGCAGAUUAUGUGCCUCGUAAACGUAAAAAGAAACCUUCUGGAAAAUGGAACGAGUUAGAUCACAGAUACGAAGACGAAAGAUUACCAUUUCUAUUAGAAUUGAAUCCAGACGGUACCGAUAUUCCUAACGGAGCGGGUGUCAGAUAUCGUUUGCAACCGAACGUGACGGAAGUUGGAUCCGAACGACCCUUCGGUCCACAAGGCGUGCAAUCACAAACUUUGACUCUCAGUGGGCCUACCGUUAUGCCAAGGCAUUGCGUUAUAGCGUUUACGGAAAAUAUCGUCACACUGACGCCAUGCUCAAGGGACGCUCAUACUUUUGUGAACAAUCAACGAAUACAUCAGACUACCAUACUUCAAAAUGGAGCUAUCAUCAAGUUCGGAAGAAUGCAUACCUUCAGAUUCAUCGACCCCGCACCCGACGACCGUAUCAGGCAACGUCAUGACUCCAAUAGACAGAUCGAGUAUGCAUACGACCGACGAUCGCCAGAUGCUACCAGCCAAGAAGCAAAUUCGGACAAGUACAGAUCAGGUUCUGGAUCCCCAAACGGUGGACACCCACAGAGUUCUGGUCAAACUUCGAAUCCUCCGAGUCCCACUAAAUCUUCGGCAGCUAGCACAUCGCGUAGUCCCACGCACGGUACUCACGCACAAGAGGUGACUCACAAUUAUGAAACGACCUUCGACCUGGACGGCAAUGUGGAAACUGCGAGUUUGACGAGUAGUAGAGAUGGCAACAGACAUCCCCAAUACGAUAAUCAACCACGAGGAACGGACCCUAUUCUACCAGCAGUAUUGGAAUUUUUGGAAGAUACGGAGGAAGCGUUUCUACGUGCUGUCAUCACCGACGUAGAUCCCUCAGCGCCGCAAUUCAAACUAGCACCGACUUAUACUCUAUAUCUGUCUGCUAGAUAUCGUGCUAGCACUCAUUACAGACCGGAAUUACAACCUAUCGAAAGAGCACAUCGUUUGACAGUGAUGCUUACGAAUAUUGCCUUGAUGAUACAAGGAGUUAUUCAGGAACGAUACAUGGAUGCGUCUUCCUUGGCAUUCUGGCUCGCAAAUGGUUCCGAAUUAUUGCACAUGCUGAAAAGCGAUCGUCACGUAGGAGCAUUUUCAACGAGAGCUCAAGAUAUCCUAGCUGAUGCCGUUCACGCUGCAUUCGCAUCCCUCGUACAUUGCGUUUCUCUAGAGUUGACGCCAGCAAUGUCGCAGUUCAUGGCAGACGCUGAUGAACCAGCUAAAGAAGCUGGCGUGCUACAAAUAUUUUCCAAUACGAUGGCUCUGUUAAGACGUUGUCGAGUUAACGCAGCAUUGACCAUUCAACUGUUCAGUCAUCUUUUUCACGCGAUCAACGCAAUCGCUUUCAACGCUCUAGUUUCUAACGGAAAUCUCUGCGUCCGGUGGUUUGGUCGAAGAUUAAAAGCAAGGCUCAAUGCCUUAGAAACGUGGGCUGAGAGACAGGGUCUUGAAUUAGCCAGUCAAUGUCAUUUAGCUACAAUCAUGCAAGCUACGCAUCUUCUCCAAGCACCAAAAUAUAACGCCGAAGAAUUGGCUACGUUGAGCUCGACUUGUUUCAAAUUAAACUCGUUACAAGUAAGAGCGUUGUUGCAAAAGUAUCAGCCAGCUGCCGAUGAACCAAGACUUCCUGCCGAACUCAUUGAAAACGUUGUCAGAGUAGCCGAAAGUGUCGCUGAUACACUUGCACGUGCCGACGGACGUGAAAUACGUUUGGAAGAAGAAUCCACCUUGGCGUUAGCUUUGCUAUUGCCAGAGGAUGGUUACAGUUGCGAGGUAAUAAGAGGUGUACCACCAGGAUUGGUUGAAUUUCUAUCACCCUUACAACAAGAAGGUUUGUGUCGAAUGGCAUCUCAACCUACUAGUAGUGGUUACUGGACUAUCUAUAUGAUAGAUCAUCAUACGAACUUACGUAGUCCAAGUGCGAUGAGUAAUAGAUCAGGUGGCUACACUGGACAUGUCGGACAAAACCAAGGUCAACCAGAGAUACAUAUUAUAAAAUUGCAUAAGUCGACCAAUGGCAUGGGUUUGAGUAUCGUUGCUGCUAAGGGUGCUGGUCAAGACAGAUUAGGGAUUUAUAUCAAAAGUGUCGUUGCCGGAGGAGCAGCAGAUGCGGAUGGAAGGCUAGCUGCUGGCGAUCAAUUACUUAAAGUAGACGGUCAAAGUUUAGUUGGAAUAACACAAGAAAAAGCUGCGGAGUAUCUUGUUCGAACGGGCCCAACAGUGACUUUGGAAGUUGCUAAACAAGGCGCGAUAUAUCAUGGACUUGCUACUUUAUUAUCUCAACCAUCUCCCAUAAUGACGAGGGCACAUAAGGCCAGGCCAAAGUCAGAACACAUAAAACCCCCCGCUAGACCUCCGGAAGUGUCCGUGCCAGCAUCUACGUCACACUCGAUGGGCAAUCUCUUGUCCGUACCAUUGCAGGGUGCUCCUACUCCUCCUCAAGAACACUACGUUGGCUGGGACGUAGAACAAUCCACAUUACCAGGUGCGACAGCUACACAACUUCCCAAAACUAACUUGUACCUUAACGAAUACGAGCGUCGCUCUCUCAGUUCUUCGCCCUCUUAUCCAUUAACGCAGAAUCCGCAUCAAUGGCGUAAUAAUUUCGUGAAGACGCGAUCAGCAUCUGUUUAUCCGGUCAGAGAAAUCUGUAACAGGUUUAACGAAGAACGAAUGCCAAUAUCGGGAAAUUGGCAAACUUUAUCAACUAUUCCUAUUAUCCAAGAACCCGAGGGAAUACGAUUAUCGAUACCUUGUCAUUUUCAAAGACAAUGUCCUCAUGAAAUCGAAAAUAGUUUUAAUUUUCCUGACACCAUUGUACCAACAACGUGCGAACAUCAAAAUAAGAGCAUGUCCGGGUUAACUUUUAAACAAAUUGAUGAUACCAACGAAGAUCAUACAAUUGAGAAUCAUUGGACUUGUCCUUUUCAUGGCGAUAGUUUUGUGAAAAGAGUCGACACAACUCCGAACGUCUGUUUAUCCUCGAUUCCUUUCGGCGAAGAAUGCUUCGAUUCUAUUCCUUACAUCGAUCAGACUGAUGAUAAUUAUCCAGAUGAUGAAUCUGAAGAAAAUGAAGAAUAUAAGGGUGAAGAGAAGGAGCAUGCUGUGUUGUACAAUGAUACUCCGCAAGAUAAAACAAGUAAUCCAAAGUCGCGUAACGAUUUAUUUUAUUCCUCUACCGGAUUUAAAGAUCCUCAUGCUCAUGAGUUAGGAGCUCGAGUAGAAAUAUCAGGCAUCAUAUCGAAACAACAAUGUUACACGGUUUGUCAAUGUUCCUUAAACUCAAGAAAAAGUACUGAAAGUCAAACUAGCAAUGUCGAUGAUUCACCGAAACUCAGCAUAUCGUCCAAGAAAUUAUCUUCUAACGAGCUCGAAAGUAACAGCGACAAUGACGAUGAAAAUUAUUCUAAUGUUUUUACGGAUACCACGGACCAAAACGAUGAGCAAGAAUUGAGUACCUCGGAAUUAAUUUCAAAAGACGAAGAGAUAAUAACACCUGAAUUAAUUCUUGAUUUAAGUGGAGUGAACGAUGACGCAGUAUCCAGUGACACGUCGAGUACAGGAAAAUUUUGGAAAUCGCCUGACGAAGUACGUUUAGGUUGUGGAAGAGUAGCAACCUUGGCUAAACAUUUUUCAGCUUUAGGGGAUGGUGGAUUAAUUAAAAUGAAGUCUAUGAAGUUGACACAUUCCAGACAAUUUGCUUCGGAACCCGACAUUACAUCACCAAGAAGUUCAACAACCGAAGUACGUGGAUCAGCUAAUGGUAAAAUGUUCAAAUCGGAAUCUGAUUUAUGUUACGAGGACAAGAGUACUCAAGUGUCACCUGAAAGACAAUACAAUGUUUAUAUCCAUGACACUAACGUGACAAUUAGAGACAAACAAAUGAAAUUGUCAUUAGAAGAGCAACGACACAUUAUUGAACAAAUCGAAGAAUUUUCUAAUCUCGAUAACACCGAUGCACCUUUGUGUUUACCUCAAGAAAAUCAAAUAGACGAUUCCGUAGAAAAUUCUGAGAUAUCUAGUAAAUCGUUGAAUAAAUCUGUAAUCAGUGGUACCGAAUCAGAAUUGGAACCAUCAAAAAAAUCACAAAACUUGUCAACGUCUUCGUUGAACAUAGAAUCUUUAAAUAAUUCUUCCUCGCAGCAACAAGAAACGAAACGUAAAAAACGUGGAACCUCCAAGUUAGCACGAUGCUGUUCUUUAAAAGAAUUAUCGUCAUCGGAUCAAUUGAAAAACGAUAAAAUUAAUAUGACCCCAGCACUUAGAAAAUAUUUCGUUUUUCCAGCACGUUCUAAUAAAGUGGUAUCGGCGCCAGAUAUCUCCAAGAAAUCUACCGCUAUGCUCUAUCUACGUUUAAUAAAACAUCAUCACAAUAAUGAGGGUAAUUUUACGGUUCACGGUACUCUAUCAAUUGGAAAGAAGGAAGAAGGACAAGAAGAAGUAGAAGAAGAAAAAGAAAAAAAAUAUAAGGGGUCUUUAGGAAGCACGAAUGGUCUCGAUUCAAAUUCUUCUCUUUCACGGUCAUCAAAGUUAUCAUUCAGUUGGGAAAAUUUGCAAAGUGAGAAAAGUAGGAUUAAUCGUAAAAAACGUCAAGCCCCAUUGCUUAAUGGACGGUGUUUAUCGAAGAGUUAUCAAGAGAUUCAUAAAAAAAAUACUACCUUUCAAAAAGAUGAUGACAGUCAAACGUCGAGAAAACUUACGUGUCGUAGUUGUUCGAUGAGCACGUCUUCACAACAAAAAGAAUCAAAAGAUGAUAUUCGUAUUAUCGACAAUACAACGACCAUAGACAUCGAAGGAAAUGUAUAUCUUGGUAGAAUGUGUAAAAAGAAAGCAAAAUCAUCGUCAAUAACUCGUUCGAUCGAUCGGAAUUCAUUGAAUAUCGUUAAAAAAUCAAAAAGUGACCCGGACAUCUCACAAUCUAAAUCAACGUCCAGAUCCAGAAAGGAGAAACGAGAUAUUCAUGUAUUUCCAUCGAUGGAAAUCGGUUCCGCUUCGCGGCCUCGCCGCAUGAGCGAACGUGAUCUUUCAUCUAGACUUGGACGUGAAACGAUUCCCCAACAAAUUCAUAGCAGCAAAUCCGUCCCAGCCUUGCACAAUUGUGAUGUAGAUAUGGGUGCUGAAGGAAAACAACAACAUGAAAUCUUCAACCCAGGGUAUAGUAGAGCAUCUUCGAGUAACAGCGUUACACCACCGGUUCAACCAUCUCCAAUGCCUGCUAUGAACGGAGCUUCUUGCCUACGCUCUAGAUCGAGCCAUAAUUUGCACGAUCCAACGAGAAUUGGGGCAUUACCUCCGAGUGGUUUGGUUAGCAGACAACAAUCCUCGCCAAACUUAAACCCAAAUCAACCUCAUGGAUCUUUCCAAAAUAAUUUACAGAAUAACGAAGCCGAAAGAUUCUAUCAAAACUUGAGCGUUUAUAGAAAUCAAGAUUCAACGGGAAAACAACAGCAGCCAAGUUUAUCUCAGCAACAUAUGGAAGAGAGGAAUACGUUACAUACACAACGAAGCUCGAGAGGAUCACAAAACUCUCUGAAUCGGCCACCGGCGCAAGAAUUGAACCAAGGAAGAGAUAGACCAAUAUCUGCUCAUAUUCCUCAAACUCAACAACAAGGUUAUUCUGGUAACCAGAUGCAGCAUCAAAAUGCGGUUCCGCCUAGGUCGCAAUCAUCGCGAGAUAUAAUACGUCAGGAAGCUAAACUUCAAGAAAUGCAAGAAGAAGUUAGAAGACGCGAGUUACGCGGUGGUGUACCAAUGAUCAAUCAAUAUAGACCAAAUACAUAUAACAUGAGACCGGCAAAUGCUAAUCAAACAGCUGGUAUUGUACCUGCUCGUGCUCUUGUUUCGAAACCUUUGGGUUCUACACCUAAUUUAGCAACAUCGUCAGCAACACGACAACAAAUGGGACUAGCGUAUGGUCAUCCUGAUGUUGCAUAUGCUCAGUAUGGCCAGUGCAACAAACACCCAACUGCUCAGUAUGGGUUAGCAUCCAAAGGGAAAGCAGAACAACCACCUCGUCACGUACCAACGAUUGAAUCUGGAAAGGAAUCUCUCGCAGUUCAAGAUUCUACUAGAUCGCAUUAUGAUCAUAAUCGUCAAUACAUGACUUCUCAAAACGGGUCACACUAUACUCAUGGACCACCUGAGCUUAGAAACGAUCAGUAUUCAAAUGAAAAUACUACUAUGGUUCAAGAUAACGUCGAAGGAAAUUCUUUUAAUACUACCGAGGUUCCACCAGCAAGACCUGCUCUUCCUGAAGAUGGGUAUAGGGAAAGCCCACCACCUCCGCCACCUAAUACAUUAACUCAUCCCUUGUAUAAUAAUCAAGCAGAUUCGAGAUAUACCGCAAGUAUGCAAGAUCCGCCUAGAGGUGGCUAUUAUCCAGCAAGUGGAACAGGAACAAUGCAACAACCUCGUCAAUAUCAGUAUAGUGCUAGUAAUCCUUGGCAACGUGAAGAACGCGAAAAGGAACAAGCUCGAAGAAGAGAAGCCGCUAGACAAUGGCGUGAUCAGCAAAUUGCCGAAUUAAGCGCUUUGCCUCAUCGAACACCUCAACAAGACGAACAAUUACGUGCUCUUCAAUUGGAACGAGAUUUCCAAAAAAGAGCAGAAGAAGCCGCCAAUCAACAAGAUGACGACGACGAAUGUAAUGAUAUUGAUACUGAGAGUAUACCACAGGCUCAAGGGUUAUUGAGUGUAGCUAAUUCUCAAGAAAGAACGAACACAGCAAGUCAACAACAUACAUUGUCGAGAGCAAACGUGAAUAAUCAAUCGAUAAGAGGUACCCCACCUACAUCCCAAACUGUUAGCACUCCAUUGUCUCCAAAUGCUGCUGGAAAUUCGUGCCUAGUACAAAAUGAUAAUUCUGGUUUAAUAUAUCUACAACAACAACAACAACAACAACAGCAGCAACAACAACAACAACCACAACAACAACCACAACCACAACAACAACAACCACAGCAAAAUACCAAUCAAUCUCAAAAUAAUACAGGACAAUUACCCAGCUCAUCGAAUUAUAGUUCCUCUUUGUCUCAUAUUGGAAAUAUUCAAAAGACAUAUACAGCUGCAAUGUCUCCAAAUAAUGAAGAAAGGGAAUCACAGCAACGUCGUAUUGAAGAAAUUAGAAGAAAAGAAUUUGAUGAAAAUCAAAGACAAAGAGAAGAAGAAAGUAGGCAUCAACAGCAGCAGCAACAACAGCAACAGCAACAACAGCAGCAACAUAUACAACAGUUGUACAAACAACAGCAACAACAUAUGCAACAUUAUAGGAAUCAACAAGCAUUGCAUCCAAAUAUGCUAAGAUUAGACAAUUUAGUUAUCAAUGGAUCCAAUACAUCACCAUCUUUACAAAAUGGAAAUACCGAUGCACCUCCACCCCCAGAACGCGGAUCUAGUUAUGCAGUGAUGUCUCAACAGAGUGCACUUAGGUCAAACAGUUCGACCUCGUCCAAUAUUGCCUUAACACCUUUAACAUCCUCCACGAUCAAGAGGGUGUCCUUUCACGAUCCAAACGCAAACACCGAAACAACGCCACGCAAUGUCAUGUCAGGAAAUGUAAAUACUUCAUCCUCGAUGGGCAUGGUCACUAUUAGAGAAGACCCUAAUAUAUCAACGUAAGUUUUGCAUGGAAUACUCUUUUCAAAUUAUAUACCAGUUAUACAUUCGCUGAAUCAUUAUUAAAUUUUAUCAACGAUGCUGAAAA